GCUUCCUCAUAGCUCAGUUGGUUAGAGUGAGGUGCUGAUAAUGCCAAGGUUGCAAGUUUGAUCCCUGUAAAGCACAGCUGCA